UGGGGAAUUUUGCACAAUGGGGGAAACCCUGAUGCAGCGACGCCGCGUGAUUUAGAAGGCCUUCGGGUUGUAAAAAUCUUUUUUACGGGAUGAAAAUGACAGUACCGUAAGAAUAAGGUCCGGCUAAAUACGUGCCAGCAGCCGCGGUAAUACGUAUGGACCGAGCGUUGUCCGGAAUCAUUGGGCGUAAAGGGUACGUAGGCGGCCUAGUAAGUUAGAAGUGAAAUAAUAUAGCUCAACUAUAUAAAGCUUUUAAAACUGCUAGGCUUGAGAGAUGAAAGGGAAAGUGGAAUUCCUAGUGUAGCGGUGAAAUGCGCAGAGAUUCGGAAGAAUACCGGUGGCGAAGGCGACUUUCUGGUCAUCAUCUGACGCUGAGGUACGAAAGCGUGGGUAGCAAACAGG
rnacentral:rRNA from 1 species